UACGUAGGUGGCAAGCGUUGUCCGGAUUUACUGGGCGUAAAGAGCGCGCAGGCGGUCGUUCAAGUCGCGUGUGAAAGCCCCCGGCUCAACUGGGGAGGGUCACGCGAUACUGAUCGACUGGAAGGCAGGAGAGGGUAGUGGAAUUCCCGGUGUAGUGGUGAAAUGCGUAGAUAUCGGGAGGAACACCAGUGGCGAAGGCGACUACCUGGCCUGUUCUUGACGCUGAGGAGCGAAAGCGUGGGGAGCGAACAGG
rnacentral:rRNA from 1 species